rnacentral:rRNA from 1 species
AGCCUGAUGGAGCAACGCCGCGUGAGUGAAGAAGGUUUUCGGAUCGUAAAGCUCUGUUGUUGGUGAAGAAGGAUAGAGGUAGUAACUGGCCCCUAUUUGACGGUAAUCAACCAGAAAGUCCCGGCUAACAACGUGCCAGCAGCCGCGGUAAUACA